AGGACAAUAUACUGUUACAACGAGAGACCACAAAAGAGUCACCAUCCAUAGAAAAACAGGAUAUGUCACACCUCCCCAAAAGGAAAGAACAGCCACAAUCACCAAACACUAAUGUCAAUCUACCACUGAGGACAGAGCAGCCUAUAGCCAGAGAAAUACAGGUAAACAUGACCUAUUUCUAUUUUAGUUAGAUUUCUAUACGGUUCUAUUGCUAUAUUUGCUAUUGAUAAUUCAAAUUAUUUAUCUUAAAAAGUCUUGUUCUUUUUAGGAUGA